rnacentral:tRNA from 1 species
CAGAGAAUAGUUUAAUGAAAAUUUUAAUUUUGGAGAUUAAAGAUGAAUAGAUAUAUUUUUCUCUGA